GACGAACGCUGGCGGCGUGCCUAAUACAUGCAAGUUGAGCGCUGAAGGUUGGUACUUGUACCAACUGGAUGAGCAGCGAACGGGUGAGUAACGCGUGGGGAAUCUGCCUUUGAGCGGGGGACAACAUUUGGAAACGAAUGCUAAUACCGCAUAAAAACUUUAAACACAAGUUUUAAGUUUGAAAGAUGCAAUUGCAUCACUCAAAGAUGAUCCCGCGUUGUAUUAGCUAGUUGGUGAGGUAAAGGCUCACCAAGGCGAUGAUACAUAGCCGACCUGAGAGGGUGAUCGGCCACAUUGGGACUGAGACACGGCCCAAACUCCUACGGGAGGCAGCAGUAGGGAAUCGUCGGCAAUGGACGAAAGUCUGACCGAGCAACGCCGCGGGAGUGAAGAAGGUUUUCGGAUCGUAAAACUCGGUUGGUAGAGAAGAACGUUGGUGAGAGUGGAAAGCUCAUCAAGUGACGGUAACUACCCAGAAAGGGACGGCUAACUACGUG
rnacentral:rRNA from 1 species